rnacentral:lncRNA from 1 species
CUCCCUUACUCUACUCUGGAGGCAUGGUGGCCAACAGCUGAUAAAUGGAGGGUCUAUCAGCCCAGCCCUCUUGCCUCUGUGGCCAGGAUGACCUUGAUGGUGCACUUUGUGCUCCAGGGCUCCCCAGGGGAUCAAACUGAGGCGGGAUUUCCCCUGACAUCCUCACUGAGCUCAUUCCCCUACUCCUCUCACUCGCCUGUGGGUUUCUCCUGAGAGCACUCCCUCAAAACAUCACUUGCCUAAGAAUCUCCAUCUCUGAUUCUGCUUCUAGGGACCUGACCCAUAAUGAGGGGAAGAAGAAAAUGAGCCAAGCCAGUAACCCAUUUGUGUUAUGAGCACCCUCCUGGGCUCACAUGUCCUGAGCCCGGCACAGACCAGGGGAUGUCUGAACACAAGACGAGGAAAUUUGAGAAGAAGAAAUGAUGACAUUCAUCUGGAAGAGCAGAGAAGACUUCCUGAAGGAGAUAGCAUUUCUUCUGGGCCUCAUGGAUGUGCCUGACUUAAAAACGUGAAGCCAGGUCGGGGAGAGCAUUCUAGGUGGAAAAAGAGUCUCAUCUAAAUGAACGUGCUCGUCUCUCCAACAUUUUCCUUUUGUCUUUUCAGCUGCCUCAAAGCAGGACUGUGAUCUUCCCCCACCUUUCUCAUGGUGGGCCUUAGAACCUUAGGACCUUGCCCAGGGAGGGCCCCACCCUAUACACUGGGGGAAGGGACACUGACAUCAUGAAGCUUUCGUAAGAAGAUAGGGGGUUGGGAGGCCAAGGCGGGCAGAUCAUCUGAGGUUGGGAGUUCGAGACCAGCCUGACCGACAUGGAAAAACCCCAUCUCUACUAAAAAUACAAAAUUAGUAGGGCGUGGUGGUGUAUGCCUGUAAUCCCAGCUACUCAGGAGGCUGAGGCAAGAGAAUUGCUUGAACCUGGGAGGCGGAGGUUGUGGUGAGCCAAGAUCAUGCCAUUGCACUACAGCCUGGGUGACAAGAGUGAAACUGUGUCUCAAAAAAACACAAAAAUGACUCAGGGGACUAGGGUCAGAGAGCUUCCAGAUAGCUUGACAAGUGGAGAUUCCUAGAGGGUGUCCCAAGGAGGGCAUGGAAACUCUAUGCCCCCUCCCCCAUACCUAACCCUACACAUCUCCUCCUUUGUAAUGUCCUUUAUAACAGAUCAGCAAAUGUGAGUGUUGCCCUGAGUUCCGUGAGCUGCUCCAGCAAGUUAAUUGAACCUCAGGAGGGGAUCAUGGAAACCCCAACCUGAAGCCGGGUGAUCAGAAGUUCCAGAGACCUAGACUUGUGACUGGUAUUUGGGGGUAUGAGGGGCAGUCUUGGGCACUGAGCCCCCAGCCUGUGGGAUCUGACACAGUCUCCAGGUGGAUAGCAUCAGAAUUGACUUGGAGGAUACCCAGCCAGGGUCCACUGCUUGGUGUGUGAGGGGGAAAUUUUGGGCCACAGAAGCUUUCUGUGGGGGUGAUUGUUGCUGUGGCGGUGUGACAGCAGAGAAAGACACGGUGUGAAGAGAGUGUUCCCUACACAGAUACCAAAGUAAAACUUCAACUUUGGAUAUGAU